UUCUUACAAAUAGGAUGGUGUUCUUGAUU
rnacentral:piRNA from 2 species